AUUGAACGCUGGCGGCAGGCCUAACACAUGCAAGUCGAGCGAGCGGCGGACGGGUGAGUAAUGUAUGGGGACUGCCCGAUAGAGGGGGAUAACUACUGGAAACGGUGGCUAAUACCGCAUACUAUCGGAUAACCCAUAUGGGAUUAGCUAGUAGGUGGGGUAAAGGCUCACCUAGGCGACGAUCUCUAGCUGGUCUGAGAGGAUGAUCAGCCACACUGGGACUGAGACACUGACCAGCCUUCUACGGAGGCAGCGGUGGGGAAUAUUGGACAAUGGGCGCAAGCCUGAUACAGCCAUUCCGCGUGUAUGUAGAAGGCCUUCGGGUUGUAGAGUACUUUCAGCGGGGAAGCGUUACCCGCAGAAGAAGCACCGGCUAACUCCGUGCCAGCAGCCGCGGUAAUUC
rnacentral:rRNA from 1 species